GGAAGAAUUGCAGGCUGCCAGUGAAGAGGAGGAGGAACCUGAAAUAGAAUAUGUUGAAGGGUAUGAAGAAUUAGAAGAAGAAGAAGAUAUGGAAGAUUUUGGCGGUCUUGCAAUCCAUAAUCCAGAAGCAGGAGAAGAUAGUGAUGGACUAGAUGAAGACCUUGAAGACAUAGAUGUUCCUCACAAGAGAGGAAGAAAGGAGUCUACUUUUUCAUUGAGGAAGCUUGAGAAAGAUGCUCGUGCCAAACUGAAGAAGAAAGCAAAGGUUAUAGUUGAGGUUGAGAGCGAAGAUGCUGAGGAGCGGCAAACAACAGUCCACUAGAAUAUUUCUUGACUGCUGUUGUACACAAGAGGAGGAGGGUGAAGAGUUUCUAAGGAAAAGCCAUGUUCCAGUGCAAUGAGGCAAGUAGCGGGAGUGGUAAGAGUUUUGUUAAUUAGAGUCCAGCUUCUAUAAGAUUAACAAUUCAAUUUUACUGUCUCAAAGGAAAUGCAUUAGGUCCAAGGAAAGAAACACAUUCAGCAUUUUCCUUCUCCGAGGGCUUACCCCUACCAAUCAAGUUUUCUCACAAUUUAGGGCCUUUUUUAUUAUCAUCUUUAUUAUUUAUUUCUCU
rnacentral:misc_RNA from 1 species